GGACAGUGGCGGGGUGCUAAUACAUGCAAGUAGAACGCUGAAGAGAGGAGCUUGCUCUUCUUGGAUGAGUUGCGAACGGGUGAGUAACGCGUAGGUAACCUGCCUUGUAGCGGGGGAUAACUAUUGGAAACGAUAGCUAAUACCGCAUAACAAUGGAUGACACAUGUCAUUUAUUUGAAAGGGGCAAUUGCUCCACUACAAGAUGGACCUGCGUUGUAUUAGCUAGUAGGUGAGGUAACGGCUCACCUAGGCGACGAUACAUAGCCGACCUGAGAGGGUGAUCGGCCACACUGGGACUGAGACACGGCCCAGACUCCUACGGGAGGCAGCAGUAGGGAAUCUUCGGCAAUGGGGGCAACCCUGACCGAGCAACGCCGCGUGAGUGAAGAAGGUUUUCGGAUCGUAAAGCUCUGUUGUAAGUCAAGAACGAGUGUGAGAGUGGAAAGUUCACACUGUGACGGUAGCUUACCAGAAAGGGACGGCUAACUACGUGCCAGCAGCCGCGGUAAUACGUAGGUCCCGAGCGUUGUCCGGAUUUAUUGGGCGUAAAGCGAGCGCAGGCGGUUUGAUAAGUCUGAAGUUAAAGGCUGUGGCUCAACCAUAGUUCGCUUUGGAAACUGUCAAACUUGAGUGCAGAAGGGGAGAGUGGAAUUCCAUGUGUAGCGGUGAAAUGCGUAGAUAUAUGGAGGAACACCGGUGGCGAAAGCGGCUCUCUGGUCUGUAACUGACGCUGAGGCUCGAAAGCGUGGGGAGCGAACAGGAUUAGAUACCCUGGUAGUCCACGCCGUAAACGAUGAGUGCUAGGUGUUGGAUCCUUUCCGGGAUUCAGUGCCGCAGCUAACGCAUUAAGCACUCCGCCUGGGGAGUACGACCGCAAGGUUGAAACUCAAAGGAAUUGACGGGGGCCCGCACAAGCGGUGGAGCAUGUGGUUUAAUUCGAAGCAACGCGAAGAACCUUACCAGGUCUUGACAUCCCGAUGCUAUUUCUAGAGAUAGAAAGUUACUUCGGUACAUCGGUGACAGGUGGUGCAUGGUUGUCGUCAGCUCGUGUCGUGAGAUGUUGGGUUAAGUCCCGCAACGAGCGCAACCCCUAUUGUUAGUUGCCAUCAUUCAGUUGGGCACUCUAGCGAGACUGCCGGUAAUAAACCGGAGGAAGGUGGGGAUGACGUCAAAUCAUCAUGCCCCUUAUGACCUGGGCUACACACGUGCUACAAUGGUUGGUACAACGAGUUGCGAGUCGGUGACGGCAAGCUAAUCUCUUAAAGCCAAUCUCAGUUCGGAUUGUAGGCUGCAACUCGCCUACAUGAAGUCGGAAUCGCUAGUAAUCGCGGAUCAGCACGCCGCGGUGAAUACGUUCCCGGGCCUUGUACACACCGCCCGUCACACCACGAGAGUUUGUAACACCCGAAGUCGGUGAGGUAACCUUUUGGAGCCAGCCGCCUAAGGUGGAUAAGAAGC
rnacentral:rRNA from 1 species